rnacentral:rRNA from 1 species
AUUGAACGCUGGCGGCAUGCUUUACACAUGCAAGUCGAGCGGCAGCGCGGGGGCAACCCUGGCGGCGAGCGGCGAACGGGUGAGUAAUGCAUCGGAACGUGUCCCGGAGUGGGGGGUAACCCGGCGAAAGCCGGGCUAAUACCGCAUAUGCUCUGAGGAGGAAAGCGGGGGACCCGCAAGGGCCUCGCGCUCGGGGAGCGGCCGAUGUCGGAUUAGCCAGUUGGUGAGGUAAUGGCUAACCAAGGCGACGAUCGGUAGCUGGUCUGAGAGGAUGAUCAGCCACACUGGGACUGAGACACGGCCCAGACUCCUACGGGAGGCAGCAGUGGGGAAUUUUGGACAAUGGGGGCAACCCUGAUCCAGCCAUGCCGCGUGCGGGAAGAAGGCCUUCGGGUUGUAAACCGCUUUUGGCCGGGAAGAAAAGGCUGAGGAGAAUACCCUUGGUUUUUGACGGUACCGGCAGAAUCAGCACCGGCUAACUACGUGCCAGCCGCCGCCGUAAUAC